CCUACGGGGGGCAGCAGUGGGGAAUAUUGGACAAUGGGCGAAAGCCUGAUCCAGCCAUGCCGCGUGUGUGAAGAAGGCCUUCGGGUUGUAAAGCACUUUCAGUGGGGAAGAAAGCCUUGGGGCUAAUACCCUCGAGGAAGGACAUCACCCACAGAAGAAGCACCGGCUAACUCCGUGCCAGCAGCCGCGGUAAUACGGAGGGUGCGAGCGUUAAUCGGAAUUACUGGGCGUAAAGCGCGCGUAGGCGGUCUGAUAAGCCGGUUGUGAAAGCCCCGGGCUCAACCUGGGAACGGCAUCCGGAACUGUCAGGCUAGAGUGCAGUAGAGGAAGGUAGAAUUCCCGGUGUAGCGGUGAAAUGCGUAGAGAUCGGGAGGAAUACCAGUGGCGAAGGCGGCCUUCUGGACUGACACUGACGCUGAGGUGCGAAAGCGUGGGUAGCAAACAGGAAUAGAUACCCCGGUAGUC
rnacentral:rRNA from 1 species